GACCUCGUGGCUCAGAUGGUAAAGCGCUUGCCAUGCCUAGGCAUGUCGCCUCUGUCGCUGGCUCGAAUCCAGCCGAAGUUG
rnacentral:tRNA from 1 species